GGGCGCACGGUGGAUGCCUUGACACUAGGAGUCGAUGAAGGACGGGACUAACGCCGAUAUGCUUCGGGGAGCUGUAAGUAAGCUUUGAUCCGAAGAUUUCCGAAUGGGGAAACCCACCAUACGUAAUGGUAUGGUAUCCUUAUCUGAAUACAUAGGGUAAGGAAGACAGACCCAGGGAACUGAAACAUCUAAGUACCUGGAGGAAGAGAAAGCAAAUGCGAUUUCCUGAGUAGCGGCGAGCGAAACGGAACAUAGCCCAAACCAAGAGGCUUGCCUCUUGGGGUUGUAGGACAUUCUAUACGGAGUUACAAAGGAACGAGGUAGACGAAGCGACCUGGAAAGGUCCGUCGUAGAGGGUAACAACCCCGUAGUCGAAACUUCGUUCUCUCUUGAAUGUAUCCUGAGUACGGCGGAACACGUGAAAUUCCGUCGGAAUCUGGGAGGACCAUCUCCCAAGGCUAAAUACUCCCUAGUGAUCGAUAGUGAACCAGUACCGUGAGGGAAAGGUGAAAAGCACCCCGGAAGGGGAGUGAAAGAGAUCCUGAAACCGUGUGCCUACAAAUAGUCAGAGCCCGUUAACGGGUGAUGGCGUGCCUUUUGUAGAAUGAACCGGCGAGUUACGAUCCCGUGCGAGGUUAAGCUGAAGAGGCGGAGCCGCAGCGAAAGCGAGUCUGAAUAGGGCGUUUAGUACGUGGUCGUAGACCCGAAACCAGGGUGAUCUACCCAUGUCCAGGGUGAAGUUCAGGUAACACUGAAUGGAGGCCCGAACCCACUGCACGUUGAAAAGUGCGGGGAUGAGGUGUGGGUAGCGGAGAAAUUCCAAUCGAACCUGGAGAUAGCUGGUUCUCCCCGAAAUAGCUUUAGGGCUAGCCUUAAGUGUAAGAGUCUUGGAGGUAGAGCACUGAUUGGACUAGGGGUCCUCAUCGGAUUACCGAAUUCAGUCAAACUCCGAAUGCCAAUGACUUAUCCUUAGGAGUCAGACUGCGAGUGAUAAGAUCCGUAGUCAAAAGGGAAACAGCCCAGACCGCCAGCUAAGGUCCCAAAGUGUGUAUUAAGUGGAAAAGGAUGUGGAGUUGCUUAGACAACUAGGAUGUUGGCUUAGAAGCAGCCACCAUUUAAAGAGUGCGUAAUAGCUCACUAGUCGAGUGACUCUGCGCCGAAAAUGUACCGGGGCUAAAUACACCACCGAAGCUGCGGAUUGAUACCAAUGGUAUCAGUGGUAGGGGAGCGUUCUAAGGACAGUGAAGUCAGACCGGAAGGACUGGUGGAGUGCUUAGAAGUGAGAAUGCCGGUAUGAGUAGCGAAAGACGGGUGAGAAUCCCGUCCACCGAAUGCCUAAGGUUUCCUGAGGAAGGCUCGUCCGCUCAGGGUUAGUCAGGACCUAAGCCGAGGCCGACAGGCGUAGGCGAUGGACAACAGGUUGAUAUUCCUGUACCACCUCUUUAUCGUUUGAGCAAUGGAGGGACGCAGAAGGAUAGAAGAAGCGUGCGAUUGGUUGUGCACGUCCAAGCAGUUAGGCUGAUAAGUAGGCAAAUCCGCUUAUCGUGAAGGCUGAGCUGUGAUGGGGAAGCUCCUUAUGGAGCGAAGUCUUUGAUUCCCCGCUGCCAAGAAAAGCUUCUAGCGAGAUAAAAGGUGCCUGUACCGCAAACCGACACAGGUAGGCGAGGAGAGAAUCCUAAGGUGUGCGAGAGAACUCUGGUUAAGGAACUCGGCAAAAUGACCCCGUAACUUCGGGAGAAGGGGUGCUUUCUUAACGGAAAGCCGCAGUGAAUAGGCCCAAGCGACUGUUUAGCAAAAACACAGCUCUCUGCGAAGCCGUAAGGCGAAGUAUAGGGGGUGACACCUGCCCGGUGCUGGAAGGUUAAGGAGAGGGGUUAGCGUAAGCGAAGCUCUGAACUGAAGCCCCAGUAAACGGCGGCCGUAACUAUAACGGUCCUAAGGUAGCGAAAUUCCUUGUCGGGUAAGUUCCGACCCGCACGAAAGGUGUAACGAUUUGGGCACUGUCUCAACCAGAGACUCGGUGAAAUUAUAGUACCUGUGAAGAUGCAGGUUACCCGCGACAGGACGGAAAGACCCCGUGGAGCUUUACUGUAGCCUGAUAUUGAAUUUUGGUACAGUUUGUACAGGAUAGGCGGGAGCCUUUGAAACCGGAGCGCUAGCUUCGGUGGAGGCGCUGGUGGGAUACCGCCCUGACUGUAUUGAAAUUCUAACCUACGGGUCUUAUCGACCCGGGAGACAGUGUCAGGUGGGCAGUUUGACUGGGGCGGUCGCCUCCUAAAGUGUAACGGAGGCGCCCAAAGGUUCCCUCAGAAUGGUUGGAAAUCAUUCGUAGAGUGCAAAGGCAUAAGGGAGCUUGACUGCGAGACCUACAAGUCGAGCAGGGACGAAAGUCGGGCUUAGUGAUCCGGUGGUUCCGCAUGGAAGGGCCAUCGCUCAACGGAUAAAAGCUACCCCGGGGAUAACAGGCUUAUCUCCCCCAAGAGUCCACAUCGACGGGGAGGUUUGGCACCUCGAUGUCGGCUCAUCGCAUCCUGGGGCUGUAGUCGGUCCCAAGGGUUGGGCUGUUCGCCCAUUAAAGCGGUACGCGAGCUGGGUUCAGAACGUCGUGAGACAGUUCGGUCCCUAUCCGUCGUGGGCGUAGGAAAUUUGAGAGGAGCUGUCCUUAGUACGAGAGGACCGGGAUGGACGCACCGCUGGUGUACCAGUUGUUCUGCCAAGGGCAUAGCUGGGUAGCUAUGUGCGGAAGGGAUAAGUGCUGAAAGCAUCUAAGCAUGAAGCCCCCCUCAAGAUGAGAUUUCCCAUAGCGUAAGCUAGUAAGAUCCCUGAAAGAUGAUCAGGUUGAUAGGUUCGAGGUGGAAGCAUGGUGACAUGUGGAGCUGACGAAUACUAAUAGAUCGAGGACUUAACCAUAUA
rnacentral:rRNA from 1 species